UUAAAUAGCCAUUAGAAUGAUAACCUUGUAACCUGGUCAGGAUAGAGAUAUAGCAGCCAAAUCGAGAAGUGUCAUGUCUGGUGGUUUUUUAAGUA
rnacentral:SRP_RNA from 1 species